rnacentral:rRNA from 1 species
CCUGGCUCAGGAUGAACGCUGGCGGCGUGCCUAACACAUGCAAGUCGAACGGGGAUAUAUUGGAAUGAGGAUUCGUCUGAAGGAAAUGCAUCUUAGUGGCGGACGGGUGAGUAACGCGUGGGCAACCUACCGUAUACAGGGGGAUAACACUUAGAAAUAGGUGCUAAUACCGCAUAAGCGCACAGCAGUGCAUACUGGAGUGUGAAAAGCCGAGACGGUAUACGAUGGGCCCGCGUCUGAUUAGCCAGUUGGCAGGGUAACGGCCUACCAAAGCGACGAUCAGUAGCCGGCCUGAGAGGGCGGACGGCCACAUUGGGACUGAGACACGGCCCAGACUCCUACGGGAGGCAGCAGUGGGGGAUAUUGCACAAUGGGGGGAACCCUGAUGCAGCGACGCCGCGUGAGUGAAGAAGUAAUUCGUUAUGUAAAGCUCUAUCAGCAGGGAAGAAUAAAUGACGGUACCUGAGUAAGAAGCCCCGGCUAACUACGUGCCAGCAGCCGCGGUAAUACGUAGGGGGCAAGCGUUAUCCGGAUUUACUGGGUGUAAAGGGAGCGUAGACGGCGAUGCAAGCCAGAUGUGAAAGCCCGCGGCUCAACUGCGGUAGUGCAUUUGAAACUGUAUGGCUGGAGUGCANGAAAGGCANGCGGAAUUCCUAGUGUAGCGGUGAAAUGCGUAGAUAUUAGGAGGAACACCAGUGGC